ACUCAAAGGAAUUGACGGGGGCCCGCACAAGCAGUGGAGUAUGUGGUUUAAUUCGAAGAUACGCGAAAAACCUUACCAGAACUUGACAUCCCGAGAACCUCUUGGAAGCAAGAGGGUGCUGUUUACAGAGCUCGGUGACAGGUGGUGCAUGGUUGUCGUCAGCUCGUGUCGUGAGAUGUUGGGUUAAGUCCCGCAACGAGCGCAACCCUUAUUGCUAGUUGCCAUCAUUCGGUUGGGCACUCUAGCGAGACUGCCGUUGACAAAACGGAGGAAGGUGGGGAUGAUGUCAAAUCAUCAUGCCCCUUAUGUUCUGGGCUACACACGUACUACAAUGGGAAUUACAACGGGAAGCCAAGCAGCGAUGCGGAGCAAAUCCCUAAAAAGUUUCCUCAGUUCGGAUAGAAGUCUGAAACUCGGCUUCUUGAAGCUGGAAUUGCUAGUAAUCGCGAAUCAGCAUGUCGCGGUGAAUACGUUCCCGGGCCUUGCACACACCGCCCGU
rnacentral:rRNA from 1 species